GGAGAACAUGCUUGGAAAUGAAAAGUAUUCAAACAUAAAUUAAUAUAAACCCGGGGGUCAUCUUGCAUGCAGUCCUGGGUAAGAGAAUCCACAAUGUGGACGAACAAGUUAAAAAAAAGUAAUCAAAGGAAGAUGGGGAACAAAUGCCAGAAACAGACAUACGUUUCCUAGGGGAAACCAAAGACGUAUGGAAGACUCGCAAAAACAUGCCCCUUGGAGAGGUGCAGAAAUUCAUCACAGAAAAGAGAAAAAAACCAGGAGAGACUUCAUUCCAAGGAAGAACAUGUGGAAACACAUUUGAAUAAUAAAUGAAAGGAACAUAAAAAGUGA